UUGCAUCUCUGCCUCCCAAAGGCUUGCACAGCUGUUUAUUUCAUCAGCCCUGGCUGUAAGUUCUGCAGGCGAAUGGUGCCUCUGAGAGCCACCUCUCUUUGGGGCAACGGAGGAGGUGCAGCUCAGAGACCGGGAAUGGCAGCAGUCCCCAGAGGACUCCCAAGGAGAGGGGAGAGGAGGCUGAGGGAACACUCCACAAGGGAGGGUGUUUGACAAGGGUGAGAGGCUGCCAGCUCUGGAGGCAAGGGGUGACAUAACUGGGCUCCUGAACCCCACAGGGGUGCCACAGAAAGAAAUGUAGUUGGUUAAGUGAUCCGUGGAUUCAAAAAAGGUUGAAAACAUCUGCCCUAAACAACUUGGGCGCUUCCCUGAUAUAUCUUUCCAUUCAUUAAGUGAUUUGGAUGAGGUCCUCCUGUUGUGUUGCAGAUUGCUGAUGUUCAUAUUGAGCAGGGUCUUUUCUGAGUUGUUGCCCAGCUUGUAGAAUCCUCUCCUUUCGGAAAGAAGAUAAGCACCAGCUAAAAAACAUACUUAUUGGCCCAAGCAUCUGACAGUUGUUGGUUAUUGUAGAUACUGCUGUCCUCUGGAUUUAAUGGCAGAUUUUAUUUAAUUUGUUCUGUAUUAUUCAUGGAAUCAAUUUAAUGAAAGGUGCUAUAGAAGUGUAUUCAAUAAAUAAAUAAAUAAAUAAA